GACGAACGCUGGCGGCGUGCUUAACACAUGCAAGUCGAACGGAAAGGCCUCUUUCGGGGGGUACUCGAGUGGCGAACGGGUGAGUAACACGUGAGUAACCUGCCCUUGACUUUGGGAUAACUUCAGGAAACUGGGGCUAAUACCGGCUAGGAGCUCCUGCUGCAUGGUGGGGGUUGGAAAGUUUCGGCGGUUGGGGAUGGACUCGCGGCUUAUCAGCUUGUUGGUGGGGUAGUGGCUUACCAAGGCUUUGACGGGUAGCCGGCCUGAGAGGGUGACCGGCCACAUUGGGACUGAGAUGCGGCCCAGACUCCGACGGGAGGCAGCAGUGGGGAAGAUUGCACAAUGGGUGGAAGCCUGAUGCAGCAACGCCGUGUGCGGGAUGACGGCCUUCGGGUUGUAAACCGCUUUCGCUCAUGACGAAGCUUUGUGUGACGGUAGUGGGUAAAGAAGCACCGGCUAACUACGUG
rnacentral:rRNA from 1 species